rnacentral:rRNA from 1 species
GACCGCCUGGGAACACCAGAUGCUGUUGGCUU